CAGUAGGGAGGAAGGUAGUGUAGUUAACACCUGCAUUAUUUGACGUUACCUACAGAAGAAGCACCGGCUAACUCCGUGCCAGCAGCCGCGGUAAUACGGAGGGUGCGAGCGUUAAUCGGAAUUACUGGGCGUAAAGCGCAUGCAGGCGGCCUGUUAAGUCAGAUGUGAAAGACCCGGGGCGUUAACCUCGGAAUUGCAUUUGUAAACUAGGCAGGCUAGAGUCUUGUAGAGGGGGGUAGGAAUUUCUAGGUGUAGCGGUGAAAUAGCGUAGAGAUCUGAAGGAAUACCAGUGGCGAAGGCGGCCCCCUCGGACAAAGACUGACGCUCAGAUGCGAAAGCGUGGGGAGCAAACAGGAUUAGAUACCCUGGUAG
rnacentral:rRNA from 1 species